rnacentral:rRNA from 1 species
AAGAUUAAUACCGCAUAAGAUUGUAGUACCGCAUGGUACAGCAAUUAAAGGAGUAAUCCGCUAUGAGAUGGACCCGCGUCGCAUUAGCUAGUUGGUGAGGUAACGGCUCACCAAGGCGACGAUGCGU